CGCAUUUAGUUCACUGCUUCUGACUAAGCUUCUUGAUGUGGAGGUGAUGUAAUCCCAUUGUUCUUCAGUGUUUUUUAGCUUGCUGACACCAAAUGGCCCACACUUUUAUCUUAUCAAUUAAACUGUUCAACUAAAAAGCAAAUAAACCCUUCAGCUGCAGGUCGUUGAUGAUUGACUGUUCACUUCCUCUCCCCACGAUCUCCACAAGUAACUGACUUAUUGAUCUCCACAAGUAACUGACUUAUUCCCAUUUAAAUUGGGUGCUCCACAACCCAUUUCAUUCCCAUCGUCCUCCAUAGCAGUCAUACAGCUACCCCUGGUGAGCAAAUCUCUCCCCCGUCCUCAUGCACAUUCCCUGUGACAUUUUUGCUGAUUCAUCACAGCUUUGGACUUCCUCAGGUACUGGACAAAAUUGGACACCCGGCCUCCCAUCUUGGUUGUUCUUCCCCUGCUGCAUACCCAGACGCCUUGGAUUGACGGCUCCUGUAGGUAAAUAUUGUUGCCAUCUAUUGCUUACUCUAAAGUUUUGUGUACUUUGUUCAUAUCUGAAUUUAACUGCUAUUUCUGAAUUUUUGUAUGCUUCGCUACAUUGAAUACUUAGCUCUGCUUUUCUUUAUCUGUUCUGAAUUUUUGUUUGUCUAUCCAAUUUAAAUUCAAUAUGGUACAAGAAUCCAUAUGCCUCGCAUUCAUCCCCUGCAUUUUACAGAGUUUUUAGGAGGGUAUUCUUUAGUCUCUUCACGCCAUCGCCUUGCAUUUGUCCAAAUCUGAAUUUACUUUUGUCAAUUGAACCUGUAUUCUUCAGUUUUAGUUUUUUAUAUGGUAUGAGAAGACAUACACCUUGCAUUGCACCCCCUUAUAUAGUUUGCUUUAGUAUCUUCGUGUCGUUUAUCUGUUCUAUCACCUUGCGUUUGGUAGACUUGCCGACAUGGAUAGGGCAGAAAGCUCUUCGCAUAAUUCAGUUGGACGAAAACGUCGUCCAUCAUUACCUAAUCCUCCUCCUCGAGUAAACCCAUAUGUUGCUGCCCAGAACCGCCGUAUGCGUCUGGAACUCAUGGUUCAAAAAGGAAAAAGAGGUUUGUUAGGCACAUUAUAUUCCUCCGAUGUUAUCUUCGUUACAAUAUGUCUUGCGAUUUAUUUCACCAUCUACUUCUUCAUAUCUAUAGUCCUCUUUCGAAAAGCAUAGAUAGUCCUCUUUCGAAAAGGCAAAAGCAAAGCGAGAGUAUGUAUUACUUCCCAUUACCUAUAGUUGAAUAUCUUGCCAGUGAAUUUUCCUGUUCAUAUAUUUAAAAUUCUAAAUAUUUCUGUACCCACUAAUGCAGACAAUAAAAAUGCAGCAAACAACUAUGAAAAGACAGACUAAAAUGAAAGUGCAUACAAGGGUAUGGUAUAUUAUGUACCUCGGUUUUUUUAUUCAAACAUUCAAAACUUCUAAUAUAUGUUGCAUUUCUAAAACUACUAUGUAUCACACUUCAUGUAGGCAACUCCCACAAUGCUCAUACUGGCAGCUUCUACAAUGCUCAUACAGCCAACUUCCACAAUGCUCCAAACGACAAAUAAUCAAGAAUGUUCAACUUCCACAUUGCUUUGACACUGCCAGCCGACAACAAUAAAUUUUUUUGUUGCUCAAAUUCUAUUGUCACCGAGAAUGUUCUCAUACCCAGUACCUUAAAUUGUAACUGAGAUGUCUACUCGUGCGUACUUUUGGUUCCAUGCAAGUGCCUUCAGAGUUUUCUGGCUAUAUUUGCAAUUUUGUGCUUAUCAACAAUGUAUACAAUCCUAUAAAUGGGCCAUAAUAUUUUCUUUGUAAACUAUACUAUCGUGCAUGCAUGUAAAUAUUGAUUCCUACAUUAACACCUCAAAUGGUUGUUCUUACAAUCACAGUGUAAGUCACAAUUGCCAGUUUCUAAAAAUUCAUUGCUC
rnacentral:lncRNA from 1 species